GUUCUUGUAGUUGAGUAACAACGGUAGUUUUUCAGAUUACUGGUCUUAGUUAAAGUCUAAGCGGGAAUA
rnacentral:tRNA from 1 species